rnacentral:rRNA from 1 species
GACGAACGCUGGCGGCGUGCCUAAUACAUGCAAGUAGAACGCUGAAGGAGGAGCUUGCUCUUCUGGAUGAGUUGCGAACGGGUGAGUAACGCGUAGGUAACCUGCCUGGUAGCGGGGGAUAACUCUUGGAAACGAUAGCUAAUACCGCAUAAGAGUAGAUGUUGCAUGACAUUUGCUUAAAAGGUGCAAUUGCAUCACUACCAGAUGGACCUGCGGUGUAUUAGCUAGUUGGUGGGGUAACGGCUCACCAAGGCGACGAUGCAUAACCGGCCUGGGAGGGUGAUCGGCCACACUGGGACUGAGACACGGCCCAGACUCCUACGGGAGGCAGCAGUAGGGAAACUUCGGCAAUGGACGGAAGUCUGACCGAGCAACGCCGCGUGAGUGAAGAAGGUUUUCGGAUCGUAAAGAUCUGUUGUAAGAGAAGAACGAGUGUGAGAGUGGAAAGUUCACACUGUGACGGUAUCUUACCAGAAAGGGACGGCUAACUACGUG